rnacentral:rRNA from 1 species
UAGGGAAUAUUGGUCAAUGGAUGGAAGUCUGAACCAGCCAUGCCGCGUGCAGGAAGAAGGCCUUCUGGGUUGUAAACUGCUUUUGCCAGGGGAUAAAAGACCCAUGCGUGGGAAAUUGAAGGUACCUGGUGAAUAAGCCACGGCUAACUACGUGCCAGCAGCCGCGGUAAUACGUAGGUGGCAAGCGUUGUCCGGAUUUAUUGGGUUUAAAGGGUGCGUAGGCGGCCUAUUAAGUCAGUGGUGAAAUAUCUCAGCUCAACUGAGAGUGUGCCAAUGAUACUGAUGGGCUUGAGUACAGAUGAGGUAGGCGGAAUUGACGGUGUAGCGGUGAAAUGCUUAGAUAUCGUCAAGAACACCUAUAGCGAAGGCAGCUUACUAGGCUGUAACUGACGCUGAGGCACGAAAGUGUGGGGAUCAAACAG